CCUUAGUAGCGGCGAGUGAACCGGCAAGAGCUCAGAUUUGAAAGCCCCUCGGGGCAUUGUAUUCUGAAGCCUUGGUCCUGGGAUCUGGUGUUUAAGUCUUCUGGAAAGGAGCGCCAUGGAGGGUGAUAGCCCCGUAAAGCACUAACCCCAUUGUAGGAUCUUGGCGUGGAGUCGAGUUGUUUGGGAAUGCAGCUCAAAUGGGUGGUAUGCUCCAUCUAAAGCUAAAUAUCUGCGAGAGACCGAUAGCGAACAAGUACUGUGAAGGAAAGAUGAAAAGAACUUUGAAAAGAGAGUGAAAAAGUACGUGAAAUUGUUGAAAUGGAAGGGUAGGCCGCUAACCACGUAGAGCCGUGUCUAGGGGGAGGAUAAAAGCUGUAGAAUGUGGCUCCUCGGAGUGUUAUAGCUACA
rnacentral:rRNA from 1 species